rnacentral:lncRNA from 1 species
GUUGGAUUAGAACAGAGAGAUAAAAAUUUUUAAUUUCCUAUAGCAAACACUUUGAUUUACAUAUUAAAUUAUAAUUUAAGAGCAUUGAAUAUUUCUCAGCAGUGAAAUUAAAAGUUUCAUUGUAUGGUCUAAGUAUCAUAAGUAAAAUUGCAAGUUGAGUAACCCAAUUCUUGGAUAAAAAUUUAAAAGGGCAUCAGCUGAUAAAUCUCCACUGGCAAUAAGAGAGAAACUUGACUUUUAUUAUGGAAGUAUAUCUGAAAACCAUGGAACUAAAAGGUUAUGUGAGUGGAAGUCAGAGUUUGAGAGCAUUAACUUUGUUCCAGUUGCCAAGACAACCUUUGCUUUUCAUUAUAUGCUCAGAUGAUGGCUCAUGUAGAAUCUGCCUUUUAGAAUGUCUGGACUCCACUCCCACUUUCUAAUGCCCCAUGGAGAGAAGAAUGGACAAAAUAAAAGCAACAAAGAUGCACAAGCUUCCUUGGAGGAUACAGAUAAAGAAAAAAAUGUUCUUCAUGACCUAGAAGAAGAAAUACAUCUUCUCUUAAUAAAUCCCAUCUGAAAUCAUAACUGCUAGAAAUGAAGAUCAAUUGUUACAAGAAGAUGAGGUGGUACUUAACCAGAAGGUUCUCCUGGCAGACUUGGUGCAUCUUGGUGGAUAUAUCUGGUAUAGAUAGGUACAGGAUAGAAGUCAGCACAAGCAACAAAUCCCAGCGAAAGAGGAACAAAAUUGUAUACCACGAUCUUCCAUGCCAGCUGGGCGGCGAAUGCAACCUACAGUGGGCAUGUAUAGCAUGAGGACAUUCCAGUAGCCCUAUGUUGUAAGGAACUGAGUCAGCCUGCCAACAACCACUGAAAAACUGAGGCCUCCUGCUGACAGUCGUGUGAAAGAAACAUAUUGGAAGUGGAUCCUCCAGGUCUGGUCAUACCUCAGAUGACUGCAGCCCAAGCCAACAUCUCAUCUUGACUGCAGCCUCAUGAGUGACUUAGCCUGAACCACACAGCUGGAAUAUUUCUGACCCACAUAGACUGAGAUAAUAAAUAUUUAUUGCUUUAAGCUACUAGGUUUAUUCCCUCUUCCCUUCCUUCCCUUGCCUUCCUCCCUACUUUUCUCCUUCCGUCCCUCCCUCUUUCCCUCCCUCCCUUCCUUCCUUCCUCUUUCUUUUUUCUCUGAAUGAGUAUAUGAAGUGUUAUUAUGUUUUACCUGCC